GAUGAACGCUGGCGGCGUGCCUAAUACAUGCAAGUCGAGCGCUUAAAGGGGGGCUUUCUCUGCCUGAUGAGUUGGACGGGUGUGAAUUUCACAUAUGUAUCCUGCCUCGUGGCGGGUGAUGACAAUUGGAGACGGUAGCUACUACCCCAGAACAGUAGUUGUUGCAUGGCAUUCACUUGAAAGCUCCAAUUUCAUCACUACUAGAUGGACCUUCCUCGAAUUAGCGGGUUGGUGGUAUAACGGCUCACCAAGGCAACUAGCCGUAGCCGACCGGAUGGGGUGAUCGGCCACACUGGAACUGAGACACGGGCCAGACUCCUACGGGAGGCGGCAGUGGGGAAUAUUCGGCAAUGGGCGAAAGCCUGACGGGGCAAGGCCGCGUGAGUGAUGAAGGUCUUCGGAUGGUAAAACUCUUUGAUUAGGGAAGAAGAGAUGUAGAAUGAAAUAUGCACGCUUUGACGGUACCUAACCAGAAAGCCACGGCUAACUACGUG
rnacentral:rRNA from 1 species